GAGUUUGAUCGUGGCUCAGGAUGAACGCUGGCGGCGUGCUUAACACAUGCAAGUCGAACGAAGCGCCUUAUUUGAUUUUCUUCGGAACUGAAGAUUUGGUGACUGAGUGGCGGACGGGUGAGUAACGCGUGGGUAACCUGCCCUGUACAGGGGGAUAACAAUCAGAAAUGACUGCUAAUACCGCAUAAGACCACAGCACCGCAUGGUGCAGGGGUAAAAACUCCGGUGGUACAGGAUGGACCCGCGUCUGAUUAGCUGGUUGGUGAGGUAACGGCUCACCAAGGCGACGAUCAGUAGCCGGCUUGAGAGAGUGAACGGCCACAUUGGGACUGAGACACGGCCCAAACUCCUACGGGAGGCAGCAGUGGGGAAUAUUGCACAAUGGGGGAAACCCUGAUGCAGCAACGCCGCGUGAGUGAAGAAGUAUUUCGGUAUGUAAAGCUCUAUCAGCAGGGAAGAAAGUGACGGUACCUGACUAAGAAGCCCCGGCUAACUACGUGCCAGCCGCCGCCGUAAAG
rnacentral:rRNA from 1 species